rnacentral:rRNA from 1 species
GCCAGACUCCUACGGGAGGCAGCAGUGGGGAAUAUUGCACAAUGGGGGAAACCCUGAUGCAGCAACGCCGCGUGGGUGAAGGAGCGUUUCGGCGCGUAAAGCCCUGUCAGCGGGGAAGAAGAAAGACGGUACCCGACCAAGAAGCCCCGGCUAACUACGUGCCAGCAGCCGCGGUAAUACGUAGGUGGCAAGCGUUAUCCGGAUUUACUGGGUGUAAAGGGCGUGUAGGCGGGACUGCAAGUCAGAUGUGAAACCCAUGGGCUCAACCCAUGGCCUGCAUUUGAAACUGUAGUUCUUGAGUGAUGGAGAGGCAGGCGGAAUUCCGUGUGUAGCGGUGAAAUGCGUAGAUAUACGGAGGAACACCAGUGGCGAAGGCGGCCUGCUGGACAUUAACUGACGCUGAGGCGCGAAAGCGUGGGGAGCAAACAGGAUUAGAUACCCGGGUAU